rnacentral:rRNA from 1 species
GGGCCCGCACAAGCGGUGGAGUAUGUGGUUUAAUUCGACGCAACGCGAAGAACCUUACCAGGCCUUGACAUCCCUUGCAAAGCUGUAGAGAUACAGCAGAGGUUAUCAAGGUGACAGGUGGUGCAUGGUUGUCGUCAGCUCGUGUCGUGAGAUGUUGGGUUAAGUCCCGCAACGAGCGCAACCCUUGUCUUCAGUUACCAAUAUCAAGUUAGGGACUCUGGAGAGACUGCCGGUGAUAAACCGGAGGAAGGUGGGGAUGACGUCAAAUCAUCAUGCCCCUUAUGGCCUGGGCUACACACGUACUACAAUGGCUGUUACAACGUGAAGCAACACUGUGAAGUGAAGCGGAACACUGAAAGACAGUCUCAGUUCGGAUUGAAGUCUGCAACCCGACUUCAUGAAGCUGGAAUCGCUAGUAAUCGCGGAUCAGCAUGCCGCGGUGAAUACGUUCUCGGGCCUU